rnacentral:rRNA from 1 species
UACGAAGGGGGCAAGCGUUGUUCGGAAUUACUGGGCGUAAAGGGCGCGCAGGCGGCCAGACAAGUCAGAUGUGAAAGCCCCGGGCUCAACCUGGGAAUAGCAUUUGGGACUGUUUGGCUAGAGAUCGGGAGAGGAGAGUGGAAUUCCCAGUGUAGAGGUGAAAUUCGUAGAUAUUCGGAAGAACACCAGUGGCGAAGGCGGCUCACUGGACUGGUAUUGACGCUGAGGUGCGAAAGCGUGGGGAGCAAACAGG